UACGUAGGUGACCAGCGUUGUCCGGAUUUACUGGGCGUAAAGAGCGCGCAGGCGGUCGUUCAAGUCGAGUGUGAAAGCCCCGGCUCAACUGGGGAGGGUCAUUCGAUACUGAUCGACUUGAAGGCAGGAGAGGGAAGUGGAAUUCCCGGUGUAGUGGUGAAAUGCGUAGAUAUCGGGAGGAACAUCAGUGGCGAAGGCGGCUGCCUGGCCCAAUACUGACACUCAGGUGCGAC
rnacentral:rRNA from 1 species